CCUACGUUGGGCAGCAGUGAGGCAUAUUGGUCAAUGGCCGUAAGGCUGAACCAGCCAAGUAGCGUGAGGGUAGACUGCCCUAUGGGUUGUAAACCUCUUUGAUGCGGGGAUCAAGGUGUCCACGUGUGGAUGUUUGCAGGUACCGCAUGAAUAAGGACCGGCUAAUUCCGUGCCAGCAGCCGCGGUAAUACGGAAGGGCCGGGCGUUAUCCGUAUUGAUUGGGGUUAAAGGGAGCGUAGGCCGGUCUUUAAUGGUGCCGUGAAAUUUUGUGGCUCAACCAUGAGAUGGCGGCGCGAACUGGAGACGUUGAGUGCGCUGAAGGCAGGCGGAAUUCGUGGUGUAGCGGUGAAAUGCUUAGAUAUCACGAAGAACCCCGAUUGCGAAGGCAGCCUGCCGCAGCGUUACUGACGCUGAAGCUCGAAAGCGCGGGUAUCGAACAGGAGUAGAUACCCCAGUAGUC
rnacentral:rRNA from 1 species